AACAACGUCAUAUACACGCUCAGAUCUC
rnacentral:piRNA from 1 species